rnacentral:rRNA from 1 species
UACGUAGGGGGCGAGCGUUGUCCGGAAUGAUUGGGCGUAAAGGGCGCGUAGGCCGCUUGGUAAGUCUGGAGUGAAAGUCCUGCUUUUAAGGUGGGAAUUGCUUUGGAUACUGCUAAGCUUGAGUGCAGGAGAGGUAAGUGGAAUUCCCAGUGUAGCGGUGAAAUGCGUAGAGAUUGGGAGGAACACCAGUGGCGAAGGCGACUUACUGGACUGUAACUGACGCUGAGGCGCGAAAGCGUGGGGAGCAAAC